CUCUCAAAGACCCCUGGGGGUCCCCAGACCCCACAUUGAGAACCACUGCUCUGCUGUGUUGGCUGAGGCUCUCAUCUGAGGACCCAUCAGUCUGGCCACCUCCCACCCCUGCAGAACACAGAUAAGUGUGUGUCCUACUAUCACUGAUGGGUAUAGUUUUAUUGAAGUGUCUCAACAGUACAGACCAGCCGGGAUUCACCUGAGGCUCGAAAGCCAAAGACGAGAAGACUCAACUGAGGAUGUAAAGCAGAAGAAGUUUCAUGGCACAGGAUUUGACAGCGACCUGGUGGACUCACUGGAGAGAGAUAUUUUGUCCCGUAACCCAAUGUUCGCUGAGAUGACAUUGCUGAUCUAGAGGAUGUUAAGAAGCUGCUGAGAGAAGCCAUGGUGUUUCCCAUGUGGAUGCCUGACUUCUUCGAAGGCAUUCGUCGCCCUUGGAAGUUACACAUGUACACACACACACACACACAAAUGUGCUUUCAUGCAUACUCUGAGCUGUAUAUUUCGUUAGUGUGUUGUUUUUUAAUGACCGAGAAAUCAAUAGAGAAAUGAUUUUCAGCAGCAAAUGAAUCACCAAAUGAAGCCAUGAAUCUGCUUAGCUGCGGGCCUUUUAACAUAUUGGUGCAAGCCAGCUGUUCUUUUGCUUAAAACACAGACGUUAAUGCUUGUUUGCAUUAUUUCCAUCUUUAGUUUAAGGACCUGCUCAGCAAUGUUGCCUCUCAGUGUCAAUAUGACUCUGCCGAAUGACCAGUCAGAGUUUUAUUUUCCUUUCUACCAGCUAAGGAUGAACUUCAUCAUGUGAGACCUCUUCCCCUCAAGCGCACCAUGUGAGGGUCAAUACUUGCUCAUUUUUUACAGCAGCACAGUGCUUUUCAUUUGUCUGAUGUGCACAUACAUAAUUGAACUCUUCACUCAGUUUAAAUAAAUUCAGAGGCCUUUUUUCAGUUAAUCGAAAAUGGAAUAAAAUGAAGGAUUCAUAAAUUAGUCAUAGGAAACAGAGACUUCAAGUUUAUAUUUUUCGGCACAUAGGUAGGCUGGUAUAUUUGUUUCAUUAUAGGUGACAUUUAGUACAGAGUUUUAUGCAUUUCUUUUGUUUUGUUUUUUUUUCAGUUCUCUGCUGCACUCUCCUGCACACGUGUCCUCUCUCUCCCUCCUGCUGUUCAAUCCCACCAGCGUCUAUUGAAACUCUGUGUGCUCCAUCUUGCAGGGAAUAUAAAACACAUUAGGAUAUAUGUAUUUUCAUGCACUAAAAUUCUAUAAAAAUUUUAUGGAUCAUGUCCCAGAUUCUCUCAUGGUUAUUGUUAUCUCCAUAGCAACAGACUCACACCAGAUGCAGAAAUGUCAGACAUCAGAGCAGCAUUGAUAGUGACAGUCUUGAUGUUUACAAAAGGGAUUUGAAUCAGCGUAGUGCUUUUUGUUUAAUAUUAUUGACAUUUAAACAAAAUGUAUGUAACUGAUCACACAGUGGGUGAAUGAGAAAGCGAGAGUGACAAAGUAAACUGAAAGUUAAUGUGCUAGCGGGGGACCUACAGUUUAGCAGAAGGCAAUUCAUUUACAUUCAUGGUGGAGCCCAGUUAUAAUAACAGCCUUUCGUAUUUCCAUAUAUCAGAUUGCAUCUUGUGCUCAUCAGGUGAUGAUGAUGCAGAACGCUCGCUCUUGCCUGCAUAUUCCCUCCCAUUAGGUACAGCUCUGACAUUUACAUUGAACACACUGACAAAACAGAUGCAAAUCAACAUUGCUUUUUGGCUUUAGCUCUCUGUCAAGCUUCCAUGAAUCAGCACUUAAGUAGUGCUGUUUGUACACAUACAAGAGUAUUAACAACUAGCAGUGGUCCCAGCGUCAGGGACACAGUAACUUCAGAUGUAUAAAGAAGUUGGUCACAAGUCAUUAUCAGUGGCUUUUAGACUCCAGAACAGCUGGAAUAGUUGCCUUAUUUUAAUUGUUUACAUUAGAAGUGAUGAUGUCAGGACUAAUUACAGUAAACUGCACAUCACUAUGAUGAAAAAGUGAUCUGAAGAAUCAUGAAUAAGCAUGUUUUAAGCAUUUACUUUCUAUAUCUGUGAUGUAGACACACACACACAGGUACAAAAGUUAGAUUUACCAAUUACAGAGAUAUACAUUUUUAUUUUCUAUUUGCAUGACAGUAUAAAUUACAAAAGGAGAACAAUUAAAUUCUCACUGGUAAAUUUAAUCAGAUCUGUGGAUUUUCAGUCACGUUGGGGCAGAUGUAGCACUUUCUGCUGUCUCUGUUUAUCAGCCUUGUGGAUCUAAAUGCUGUGCAUCCUUACUUGUUCGUCUCAGAUGGAUAUCAGUGACGCACAGAGUUUGCAGCAGUUCAUUCCUAUAAAUAAACCUAAUUGCCUCUCCUCUGGUGGCCAGCUUACAGUGCCCUCUGAUUGUAUUUGAAAGCUGAUAUACAGGGGUUUAAUGCAGAGGAAGCUGUUAGCAAACCAUUUAAAUCACUGUUGCAUUGGCAAAAUAAAGUAAAUGCAUGCAUGAUCAUGCAUUGCGUGACCAUUGUGGCUUGUGAAUGCUAAAAUUGCAGAUGAGAACAGAUGUGAUUUUGAGAAUUUAGCACUGUAAAUUUUUGGGAGCACCAUGCAAGGUUCUUGUUUAAUUACUUUUGUGGAGUUAGUUUUGGUGGAUGUUGGAAGGGAGCAGCAUCUGUCUCCAAUUCGUUUGCAAACCCAUUUGUUUAGAAGUUGUAAGUACUGGUGCAUGUUAUGGGUGAUUGCCACAUAUCUGUUGGUAUGAGCCAUUCAGCCCCUUCACAGGCCAAAGUGGUUGAUCUCAACAGGAGACCAACCUGCGCGGGUCUCCUGUUGAGAUCAAUAUUCUAUUUGUUUGUGUUGAAUUUGCUGAGCACACCAAAAAAUUAUCAAAAUUCAGGUUGUAAGUCAGUUUAUUGUCAUGUUUUUGUUUUCUGUGGACUUCUAGCUCUAAAAAAUGUUCACUGAAAGAGUCAGAGGGAAGCUUGUUUUAACCCAAUAUUAUACCCAAUAAUACCCAAUAUAUUAAAAAUGUUAAUUUCUGCACCUGAAAUGCCUGUUUUAUAAAUGAUUAUUUGAUUGUUAGAUCAUCAGUACAUAUUCUGCAUAAGAACCCUUUCUUUGUCUCUUACUCAUGUGUCCUUGAAUGUUUGUUUUUUUCUUGAUGCUACCAGUGUUCUUACCAGUACUGUAUCUGUCUCUCCAAACAGUCAGGAUUGUUUUAGUGACUUUUGCUCACAUACACUUUUGGGAUACACAAACUCGGUCUUUAAAAUAGUGAAGUAGAUGGUUGU